rnacentral:lncRNA from 1 species
CCCGGCUAACAAACGGCAUGGGGAAGUUAUACCAGGGACACGCAUUUUGGAUACACAUAGCACAGGAUGGAGGCUGCCUUUCAGCAGGUCUGGCUUGAAAGGUUUGGUUAUACUGCUCCUUAAAAAGCCAUAGUCAUCAUUUGGGAGUCAGACGCCAACCCCCAGUGGUACAUCAUUGGCUUAGAUGGUAGCUGGCUUAUAUUCCGGUAAUCAGUGUUUACCCAAAGCGUCUGAGUACCCUCUCAGUGUUUUGAGUCCUCCUCUGACAGGUCUUUGCCCUCAUCUAAGCCUACUCACCAUAAUUGGCAUUGUAGACAAUUAGCUCUGUGAUUCUAUGGAAAUCGUGUCACCUGUAGGAAAUGAUCUUCCCACUUAUCUGACCUCCCUGCCAAAAGCAAUGCCAUCCGGUGUUAUUAGAUUUGCUUUCUAUCCAGUAAGCGCUUUUUGCCUGCUGCUUUGUGACAUUUUAUUUUACCCAAGAAUUGUCACCGCGGCACCUUAGCAACAGCUAAAGAAUAUGUCUCUAUACAAAGCAUCUGUAUUUCCCCUGAGCCUUCCUUUGUGGUAAUGUUUUUGAACACCGAUGACAAGGUAGGGAAAUAAUAUUGCUAAUAAAUACAUGAUAGGAUUUUAA